CAGAUCGUGAGGCAUGACCUGACAGAACUUCGAGACUUUGAUCUGGAUGGAGCUCCUUACGGAUAUACUCCGUUCUGUGAUAGCCGCACUGAAAUGGAUGGAUACCGUUUCUGGAAGACGGGAUACUGGGCAUCACAUCUCGUAAAAAGGAAAUACCAUAUCAGUUUUAGUGCAAUAAUCCCAAAACAAAAGAACCCAAACUAGAAGCUGCCGCAAGGAUUGUCCCAGAAUGGGUAGAGUAUGAUACCGAGAUCCGGAAACUAUUAGAUCAUCUUGAAAAUAAGAAGAAAAGUACAAUUCAUGAUGAACUCUAGCACAGACGAUGAGAACGAUGGAAAUCUGCCACCUGCUGGAAAUUUGUGGAACUGCUAAGACUAGUAGGCCAUUCGUUCCAAUUAUUGACAUAAGGUUGGCUGGUUUUUUAUAAGCUUUAUUUAAAACACAUGUAAAGUUUUAAAAUAAACUUAAUUUAUGUGAUUG
rnacentral:lncRNA from 1 species